rnacentral:rRNA from 1 species
GACGAACGCUGGCGGCGUGCCUAAUACAUGCAAGUAGAACGCUGAAGGAGGAGCUUGCUCUUCUGGAUGAGUUGCGAACGGGUGAGUAACGCGUAGGUAACCUGCCUGGUAGCGGGGGAUAACUAUUGGAAACGAUAGCUAAUACCGCAUAACAGUAGAUGUUGCAUGACAUUUGCUUAAAAGGUGCAAUUGCACCACUACCAGAUGGACCUGCGUUGUAUUAGCUAGUUGGUGGGGUAACGGCUCACCAAGGCGUCGAUACAUAGCCGACCUGAGAGGGUGAUCGGCCACACUGGGACUGAGACACGGCCCAGACUCCUACGGGAGGCAGCAGUAGGGAAUCUUCGGCAAUGGACGGAAGUCUGACCGAGCAACGCCGCGUGAGUGAAGAAGGUUUUCGGAUCGUAAAGCUCUGUUGUAAGAGAAGAACGAGUGUGAGAGUGGAAAGUUCACACUGUGACGGUAUCUUACCAGAAAGGGACGGCUAACUACGUG